UUCCGUAGCCAUAUAAUAAUUAGCUGCCUAUUCUGAAGAUAUGAUAUAACUAGAAACUCUCCAUCCGUUUAUCUAGAAAUUUGAACACGUCAUAUGGCUGAUCGUAGAAUCAUCUAGCUGAAGAUAAAUGGUAGGCGCAUAUCACUGGUCUGUGAAACAAGCAGCUGUGUUUGUACCUACUCCCACGAAAUAAUUGUGACUGCAGUUGGAGCGGCUUUCUGAAACAACGAUGUCGAGUUGUUUAUUGUAGUGCAUCUGAAACAAUUCUGGGUACUAAAUUAUAUUCAUAUUCCUGAGAAAAGUAUUACUGAAAAAUUAGAAAAAUCUUUUGAACAUGGCAUAAUUACUUGAAAGCUUCAAAAAAUGGCAGAUAAACGAAUAGCAAUUUUGGGAAGUGUUCUCUUCUGCCUUUUCGUUAUUGUGCUUCUAAUCAUUCUGUACUAUCCAGAAAAUUCACGUGAAAUAAGUGGUAAG